ensembl:ncRNA lncRNA:CR43650 long non-coding RNA:CR43650
AAUACAGUUGAUCGUGGGCCUCGUGCGCCAAUGGACGUAAAGUUCCAGAAAAAUAGAAAUAAAAAACAAGAAAUAAGAAAAUAGCAAUCAGUAAAUAAACCAAAGAAAAAAGAAAGAACCCUUGAGGAAAUCAAAAGUCAAGAGGAGCGGACAAGUGCAACUGUUCGAAAUUCGGUCAAGUGUUAAGAGAAAUUCCAAAUAACUUCUAAUGAAUUCUAAUUCGUAACGGGUGUGUGUGUGUGUGUGUGUGUGCCGAUCGGAAGCCAAACGAUAUUUUUAACACCUACCGGGCUUUACGCGUGUUUCACACAUUUCCAGCACCACCAGCACUCAGCACCCAGCACCGAUGAACGCGGAUCCGAUCCCGAUCAUUCACUCUUCACCCAACUUCAGUUCACUGGGAAAAAAAGGAGGCACGAAAUAAACGCGCGAAUUAAAGCCCGGCUGGCAGAAAUUUUACACGUGUCUCGAUCGCUGAUUCACUGCUUUGUUGUAUGCCCAAAAAUUAUAGGCAAUUAAGCAAAUUUUCCACAAUUGAUUAUCAUUGGAAUACGGCAAUGCCAAAAGCAAUGUGCUAAUGAAAGUCUCAGCCAAAAAAAGAACAAAGAUAUCUGUAAUCGUGGACGGAAGCUAAACUUCAUGUCAUGAUUUAAUAAUCACAAAAGGGCCCACGGAAACGCCAAGGUAACAGGUGUCAGCUAGACUUAACCAAAGAAAAGCUAAGAUCUAAAGCAUACUUUUGAAAAAUUUGAAUGUUUUGAGCGACGCUUAAACAAAAAAGAAUCAACUUAAAAAUUCUAUGUUGGGAUCAUCUGAGAACAUAUUUUCAGUCUUUAUUCCCAUGUUAGCCUGGUAAAUCUUCACCGUCACCCAGUCGUUUUUAUUACCAAAUUCGAAUUAUAUUUUAAAAAUCUUAGAGCAAUAACUUUUAUAAAAAAUGAUCUAUUUAAAUUCGUACAAACAUAACCAUGAACAAGUCUUUUAUAUCUUUUGAGAUGCUCAAGCCCCCUUUUUCCCAGCUCAAUUUCACUUUGAUUAAUCAAUGAAAGCACGUAAAAGUUAAAUCGGUCUGUUUAGCGAAGGGGGGGGGUCCACCUAAUUGAUAAAAGCUAUAGUGACGGCUGAGAGGCGACAGAGCGCCAAAAAGGAAGCCGUGAAACCGUUACAAUAUACACGACAAAGGAAUGCGUCACAGUUAAAAAUCAAAUCACACGUUAACGUAACGGCAGCGACGAACAAGGUUCGGCACCGUUGCAACAUGUUUGAAGCAGCGCUGCCGACGCCAAGAUCGCGGCUAGAGAUGGUGGCGUGCGGCAAACACGCUUAGUCUUAGUCUAGUCGCUUGAACUGUUUUAACUUGCUAGCAGUCCCAGAUUGAAUGACAUAAUUAAUUGCAUAAGUGUAAUGUAGUUUUCCAAACUGAAACCACUUCCCUAAACCAAUGACUUUUGAACUUCUAGAAUAGAAGCGACUUACACAAACACACGUGGUCUGAGCAGCGUGCUCGUGUCACGCAGCAAACAUCGUGCCGCGCUGCCACCUCUAGCCGCGGGCAGCGCAGCCGUCGGCGGAGCUCGUCGGCGCCGCAGCUUUCAAUUCUUUUUUGGUGCUCGAUCGUGACGGUUUGCUCGCGCUCUCCGCUGCGCCGCUCUUUCCGUUGCAUAUGUGUGCGGGCGUUAUUGUGCAUGUUUCCGGUGGCCGAAAAAAAAUAGUAAAAUAAAAUAUAGAAAACAGAAACCAAGAAUAAUAACAGCCAUACGAUAAACAGUGUGCCAAUGUGUGUGUCUGUGUGUGUGUGCAUCUCGCGUAACAACAAUAAUUGCAUUUAUCGGAUGGCGCCAGCUUCAAUUUAAUUAUAAAUAACAUGUUCAACUUUUUAUACUAUUUUCCCUGCGUCAAAGUGGGCGUUGCAACUGCCCCCGGAAAAUCACGCGCCCCGGUUCAAAGUUAAAGUUUGCUGGGUAACGCACACACACACACACACAAUCACUCACACGCGGUCACACGCACAUUUCAAUAAACUAAUGGAGCCUGGCUUUGUUUUUGUUUUAUUUCCAACCCACUUGAGCACACAGCACACACAGAGAGAAAAAUCAAUACUCGUUAUGGGAUUAAAUUUACAAAGCGCAAAGCAAAGCGACAAACAAAAUUCAAAAGAAAGAAAAAAAAACACUCAAAUAAACUCACAAAGAAUUCCUUAUCGCCAAGGGGGCCAAUGUUCUAAGGUUCUUUCGCCUUGAGAACUUUGAGCUUCCUCUGGCAAAGGAGAUUAUAAUGUACAAAUAAUGUUGCAAUAACCAGUUGAAACCAAUGGAAUACCGAAUCUUGCUAAUUAGCAAGGACAUCUGUUCACAUCUUACCGGGCAGCAUUAGAUCCUUUUUAUAACUCUAAUACUGUCAGGUAAAGAUGUCGUCCGUGUCCUUAACCUUCAGUACCACCAACAGCAGCAGCAGCACCAAAAAAAAAAAAAAAAAAAUGCGUAAAAAUCCAAACAAAUCAUAAAAGUCGAAGGAAAAACAAGUUUUUCAAUUGUGCGUCGCGCCAAGGAGCUGGUCAAAAAAAAAGAGUGGAUAAUGCGAAGACAAGCGGCUGAAAAUUGGUCAUAAAUUCUUAUUUUUUGCAGCGGCACAACGACGCGUUUUGGGAUGACAUCAGUUGAAUAAGUAAAAAAAAAAAAAGUAAAAGAUAUAAAAGCCGAGGCGAGAUCGUUCCCAAUUCCCAUUAUUUUACCCUUCCCGGUCCCCGGCGGAGUCUGCAGGUAAACCCACUAUAUACCACAUAUACUACUGUAUGCCAUUCUCUAUAUAGAGAAAGAGACUGAGAGAUCGUAUAAAAAAUAUAUUUUAUGAUUCGGAUGCUGCUUUCUGCUGGUUUCUUAAUUUAAUCGCGGCGGCAGCGUUUAGUGACAAAAAUCGUCUUCUUUUAUGAUGCCAAACCCCCGCCCCCCUGCCCUGGCCCCCUGCAACAUCUAACUAUAGCCACAAAUUUACGAUUAUAGUCAACUAGCCAAGACAGCAGGUUGCUUGAGUUUCAUUUCGGUUCGUUUAGUUUGGUUUGGUUUCGUUUCUCGUUUUUUUUUUUUUUUGGCCCCGCCUCAAAUGCUCAUGAUUUGAAAUUAGAGAAAUGUGAAAUAUGAAACCACGGGCAAGAGCUGUCCGUAAUCAAAUAAUUAAAUGCUUAUAAAUCGCCGAAACGUGAGCGGGGAAAACGCAGCUCAGUUAAUAUGAUUUAUACGAGGAGGACAUGUGCUUGCGGUUGCAGUAAUUGGACGGAACUUCAAGUUUUGUUCAACGAAAUUAUCGCACCUGUUGGACAUUACAUAGAUGAAAGAGUUUUAGCAUAGACAGGCCGGUUUUGAGUAGGAAGUUGAGCGUAUAAUUUACCUAAGCAGGGCAAUUAUUGUCUAGAUUAUAAUGAUAGUCUUAAUUAGCGCACGUUUACCAUACACGUUGUAUAAGUUUCGAUUUCUAAUAUUUCAAAUUAUUGUAGUAUGCUAUUAAGUCGUAACUAUUUCAUUACACUUAAUAUAGUUAUAUAUGUAUGCGCCACUAGGCAUUUUUCAAACUGACACCCGAUCAGAUAGACAUUCUUAUCUGCCUAAAAUCUAUUAUAACCCCGUUUAAGUUUAAUAUUCCUAUCGUCUUCCACUCAGUUUCUGGCAUUCAAAGUUAUUGAUAAGACGCUGCGUAGACCAGAUAAGCACUGAAGGGAAGCUGAUCCCGAGCAGAGAUUGUGCGUGUGGGGCUUUCGAAUCUGUCUUCAUCUACCGCUUUUCGUGACAACAUCAAUCCGCUGAGUCGAGUCUGUAAUAACAUACAAAGCAAAUACAAAUUCCAGCGAGUGCCACCUGGCAAACAACCGACUUAAUUGUCAAGAGUGUCCAGAGUUACUGCCGGUAUACACCUAUAUUUAUACGAAUAUAUGGCUACGAUAUAUGGCUGAGCCCACACAUUCGAGAGAGACUCUGUUUAUAUAGCGACCCACCCGACAACGGAUAGAUGAUAUAUACAUAUGAGGCCAGUACAUACAUAUGUAUAUGUACUGUAUAUAUGUGUGGUGAAGGAAUAGGGAUCGUAAAAGCGUUUACAGGGCCUUUAAAUUUUACAGUUUCUUGCCCCAGUGGGUUUAGUCUCAAAUUCUUGUCGUUUCUAGGCCGAUGGGGUGGCAAGGGGUUAAUCUAAUCAGGAAAACAGAAAAAAUGCGUUAGUCUCGGUCUAGCCUGGUCGAAACGAUCCCCGUAAGGCGGAACGACCAACGUAACCAGAACGAAUAUAACACCUGUUAAUGAACUUAGCAGUGAUUCUAAUUAAAUGUGCACACCUUCGGCUUGGGCUCCCAAGUACCAGUACCAGUAAACUUCCUUUGCUUUACUUUUUCCUUGCUCUUGUUGGGUCGUAAACGUAAACCCAUUCUGACUCUUUCAAUAAAAGACUGCAUAAAUCAAUUAAAUCCACGGGAUACGAAACCCCGCCCGAACAAAGCCCCCUUUGAAUAAUGCAUAACUAGUUGAUCCGCUGCAUUUAAUGCCCAGUAAUUUAUUCCGGAUUAGAGUUCGUAGUAAGCAAUGAAAUGGCUGUUUUUAAAAUCCAAAUAAGUGUAAAUGUGACACACAAAGCAUUUGCCUAUAAAUUUCUAUGGUUUCGUUGCAGAUGAGGUUAUUUCAUAAUUCCAUAGAACAUUCGAAUGGUCAAAUAAACUAAAAUAAAAACUGCACAGUCACCAAUCGUGUGACAAUUUCACAACCAACAACUAAUUGCGGCCACAUUUAAGACUGUGUGUGUGUGUGUGUGUGUGUGUGUGUGUGUGUGUGUGUGUGUUGGCCAAUCUACAAUUUAAAUCGGCCAAUAGAGGGUCCAGUUGUGAUAGGGAAACACUCCACAACCGCCGAUGGCGCGAGUGGUAAUCAGAGUAGCACUUGAUAUCCACAUGGCUCCGCACGAUAAUGUCACGUUCACACCAUUCAGCCAGAACGACACCCCCUACUUGAUCGAAACAAAAAAAAACAACAAUAACGAUCGAUUGAAACUCUCUCACAUAGCCAAACCAAGCUAGACAAUCGAUUCUGUCAGUGGCCAGCGGCUGAAAUGUUGAAAUUAAUUUCAUAUGGUAGCGCAUAUCUCACCUCCGACAUCUGAUUUGUGUUGGCCAGGUGUGCGUUUGUAGAAUAAGAUACUUCUAGUGUGCGCUGUCAACUGGGUUUGGCCCACAGAGAUUUUGUUACUAAUUAUUUGUAACUGAUUGGAAAACUAAUCAACGCUGACCAAUAAAAGUCCACUGGCAUGGGAUUGGGUUUUAAAUUUACCGUCAUACCGUCUCUGCCCAGUUCACUGAAAAUCUAAUCAGCCUAAGACCAUAAAAUUCCCCAAAAGACCGGUGGGAAAGGGCCGACAUGUAAGGUUUCUUUUGCCACAUCCAGUUGCCUAGAAAAUCGGAAGAAGAAACGUCCUAAGCGUCGUCGUAUUUGAGUACUUUAUAUGGUGUAUGGAGAGAGUUACUAUAUCUAAUCAAACCCCAAGGCGAGUGUAUCUAAUCAAGUGCGCGAGGAGAGUAUCUAAUCGUCCAGGGGCAGGAGACAGCCGGCAGUAUAUAUAGAUAGAUACAUAUAUAUUACUUAACAAGGGAUUACGUUAUUCGCUAAACUAAAUUGAAACUAAAAUUCUCUAUAAAAAUUGUUCGUCAUCAUUAGUGCCCUUCAUAUUAUAAGUGCAUACUGAAUAACUACUAUUAAGUGUUACCUGAAAUAAUGACUGUACUGCCGAGUUUCAAUUACAAUCUACCAAUAAAGACACUAUCGCUUUCUAUGACUUUCCGUCUUAUUUAUUUUUGUGUCUGGACACUGGAAGUGAGCUGAAAUCAAAAUAUUGAGCAUGAUUUAUAAAUAAUGGGCUGUAAUAUAAUAAUAACAUAAUACGCCUUGACAUGAUAAUAAAGGCGAGACCAAUGGUAAAAAGAAAAGCGGCAAUGAACUGCAGCGAUAAAGGAGCUGAAGGGGUGAUGAGGGGUACACCGAAUGGGCGUAAAUCAAUUAACAGCUAACAAAGUAAUCAAAGCUAUAUUAAUAAAAUCGAAGGGUCUUAGGGGUUUUCGAAGAAGUAACUAGUAUCACAAACGGCUUAUGCGAAGUCAUGCCAUGUCACUCAUUUAAUUGAUUGUGUCACAGUCGUAAGGGGGAAGUGCCGAAAAUGCAUUCGAUAGCCGCUCAGAUUGAAAAUGAUUAUUUCACACUCACUCAUUCAGGUUGGAUGUCCCCUAAUGAACUUACCAUGUUGCAUACCCAGAGAUUGGUAAUUGGAGCUCUUUCGAUUCCGGAUUUUUUCUUCAUUUCUGUGCAUUAAUUAGUCAUACACUAAUUUCCAAUUCCGAUUUCAGUCAUGCAAAUGUUAAUUGACCACUUAAGUUAAAACUUCAUAAUGAUCGUUAAUAAUACCGAUGGGGGCACAUCUGGAGAGGAUGUCGUGGCUACGACAACUAUGGCCAAAAGAACAGGUUCAAAACCCUAACUAACCAGGUCCGAAACUCGUAAAAGAUAUGCAACCAAUACAAUCAUACCUUUGCCACUUUGCCUCACGAUGCGAUCUUGUGAAACCCGAGCUUGGCUCCUCUGUAGCCCCGGGCUUUUAACUGUGCAUUAAUGAUCUUCUCAGCCAGCUCAUUUAUAUACUUUAGGCAGCAGCGACAAGGUGGAAUCUCUGGGCUUAAAUAAUUUGUAACUGCGGUGUAAGAAAUAGCACGGGUUGGCAAAGAUAUGUGGCAGCCUAGAAACUGUGUAAGCUCUGGGAUCUUACUAAAAAAAGUUUCUUUAAAGUAAACUACUUCAUAUGCAGUAAAUAGAUCAUGGUAAAGUAUCUGACUAAAUUGUAAAAUUUGAUUAGCUUCCUUACUCACAUUUUAAACUAAUGCCAACAACUUAUGUAUGUGAUUAAAGAGCUAUUAAGCUGGCAUUUCAUAAACGCAAUCAGUUGUAUUUGAAGCCUGCUACCAUUUUGUUUAGAAAAUACAAUUGAAUUCCCAGCAGUUAUCUAAAUUGAUCGGACAAGCGGCCGAGGCAAGUGCAAGCUCAUGGCUCAUAAUCAAGGGCGAAUGAAAGCGAUUUCCUGCUGGCGCAACUUGAUUGCACUGAUUGCCCGAAAGGAGGAGAAGCUCCAGACUGGAUUGGUGGAUUCUGGUGACUCGUGCCGCCGAAACAAUGCCGCCAGGAAGGGUCUCCCAGUUUCAGGUUGCCAGUUAUUCCAGAGCUAGCGCAACUAACUCAGCGCCUCUUGGCCACAGGUAAUUGAACGCUGCCCCCAUUCUAGCAACUCCACCUGAGCUACUGUGUAUCCCUAUGCCAUGGGUAUUCGACACGCCUGCUCUUUAGCAAUGCACUGAGAGAAAAAAGGGAUAUGCCUUGCAACAGCAAUUUAAGUAUUUACCUAUAUACCUCACUAUUAGUGAUUUAGCUUAUAUGUUGUAUAUUUCACAUAAAGUAUAUAAUAAAUUAUAUUUUCGAAGACUAAGGGCCACUAUAUUUGAGGCAUACUUUACUUUGUGGAAUGGCAGUGAAGACUGGAAGGGGCAUGUUCAUCGGUUGGCUGAUUCAGCAUCGUUGGGGUGCAUCAAAUUAGCAUUGUUCUCAGAGCCACUGAGCUUUUAAGUCUGGCAGGAAACUCUGGACAAGUACCGCACUUAGACGCCAGAAUAGUCAGCAAUCUGACUGGCGACAUCUAAAAUGAUAUAAAAUAGAAACGCAUAGAACGUCUUAAAAAUUCCAAAUAACUACGUUGUAAAAUUCUUUUUUAAAUGCACUAAUCCUAUUACGAGCAGUCAUAGAGUUCAAGCUACAAAUUCCAUUAUUGUGGAAAAACAUAUUUUUUUUACAGAGUCGAGCAUUAAUAACCCGGCUAGCAAUUUGCAUUCGCGUUAUCCAAUAGUUAGUUGUGGAUAUAUUUAUGGAUUGGGGCCAAACAAGCGCCACCUGGCGGGGCUAAUCGGCCCCGUCCGUUCGGUCUGGUAAUUAAAAAAAUAAAGUUCACUUUUUCAGCUCGUUUUGCCCGCUUUGCCUACGCCACAGUGUAUCUCACAAAGCCAAUGGAGUAAUUAGCCUUAACGUGGUUAAACCAAUUAUUAUCUUGGCCUGACACAAGCUGAUGGCUACGUGCACUCCGACAAAAUAUGUCUCCUACUUUUCCCGAUUCGCUGGCCAGCUCACUGAGCAAUUAAUUGCGGGAAUAAUGAUCUGGAGGCUGGUCUCAUCAUGGUCAUGAAUAUGCAUGGACAACUGCUUUAUAAGUGAACUCUACGCCCCUCACUAUAUGGCGAUAUAGCAUCUGGAUAUAUAUAUAUACAUAUGUGUGUGUACAUUGUACACAUAUGCCAAACGACUUUUGCAAAGCUGCAAACUCAGACGCCAUCAACUGCGACUAUGUACAUACGUAUUCGUUUAACACGUACAAAAUUAUAUAAAUUUGCAUAGAAAUUGCAAUGAACCUUAACUCGAAUGUGAAAGAACAUCUAAGCAACAGGUUGGUGGUAACACUGGUCAGCCAGAAAGUUGGCAUUGAAAACACUUUGUAUUGAUCUAAUUCAAAAACAUAGCUUAUAAAAUCUAGAUUAGACCAUUAAAAGAAAAAAGUUACUCAAAAGAAAAACGUAGUUUUAUAGAUCUUAAAUUAUUUUGAAAAAAGGCUGAAACUUUAAAACUUUGCUGUCUAGUGUAACCAUUAAGUAGUAGUCGCUCAAGCAGUUGUUGUAAUUAUUAGCAUGCCAUUUGUUGUUGGCAACAGCAGACUUUUGAACCCGCUGACUUUUAACGAAUACAGAGCCCGGCGUAAAUGUAUUUUUAACAAAAUGGAAAAUAAAGCGAGAAUAUAAAGAGAGAAAUUAAACAAAUUUCUGUUCAUUUACUCCAGCCAGCUACUGUUGGCCAGCAUUUGUGUGCAUUUCGGUCAAAUUGUUUUUCUUAUUGUACCAUUUCGCCUGUUAUUUAUAGCGCAAAAUUCUGUAGCAUGUGUGCCGCCAUCGAGGAGUCCAAGUCAAGUCAAGACCAAGUUGUUUGGGAUAUUCGAAGUCGCAGUGCGGCCAACAAGAGCAACAGAGUUAUUAAUGCUUGGAAUUUUCAUAAUCGAAACGAGUUUUCAAGCGGCAGCCAGGCAGUCAGGCAAGGAAGCACGCGCGUCUUGGCCAGACUAGCAACCUGGCUCUUGGUCGCCUUAAUAACUAACGCUCCUCUCUCCCCUCGCAGCGGCUGCAAAAGUCAAGGAGCGGAGAGGUGGCAGUGCCUGGGGGGGGAGGGGGUGUUCAGGUCGUAGAGUUAUGGCCAUGGCAAGACAAGCCAAGCACACGCCUUGCGCGAACAGGUGAAGCGUUUAACUGUGGGACUGGGAGACUUGGGCUUCGGAUCAGGAUUUUGCUCUUGCGGAGCAAGGAAAAAUCAGGCAUAACUAUUAGUUUACUGUUUUCUAUAAAGCAAUUAAAUUACUUAAAAACUAAGAGAAAUAUAAUAAAGUCAUUCAAUUUUGAAUGCUAGGAAGUGGAUAUGUUUUUAACCUAUUACUUCAUUUUUAUUCAAAUUGCUUGUUCUUUUUUUUUCUGUGUGUGGAACUCCAACUCCCCAAGCUCGACUCCAAUUGGCCUGAGUGCCCCCUGGUUGGACUUUGUGCACAUGGCUAGCUGAUGUUGCACACCAAAAGUUAUGAUCGCAUCACUAAUUUGUUGAAUUUGACAGAGCUAGAUUUUAUUUUUGGAUAGUUUCCCAUUAGAGCAAACAUAACAAACAUAGCAAUGCAGUUCACUUGCUUAGAAUAAACACUAUAAUUUAGCAUUAGAAUUUAUUGCUAGCAACUAAAAGCAUUAUUUAUAUAUGUGAGUCUUAAGCUCAAUUUGCCUACAAUUCUAUCCUUCUGCAGGACCUGUUUUAUUGAUCAAAACAUGAAGUACUGGAAUCGCUGAUAGCAUAGAAAGCUGGACGCCAAGAUCCGGUCCAGAAAUAGCAAUGACUUAUGCAAAUGCUGGACAAUCGCUUUCCAUCGAGAGCAUUGCAUGCGCACCACAUAAUGCCAUCGCCAGUGGCUAUCCAGGUAGCCGAAUGCAGAAUGAAUGAACAACCUGCUCGGGUAGAGCCAAGACUGUAAUUUGCUUAAAAGCAGCGAACAAAUAAAGGGUUUCAAUGGAUCCCCGCGACCCAGAGACACGCGGAGAUAAUGAAUGGCAGGAGGGAUCUGGAUCUGCGUGGCUUCUUGCCUGUCUUCUUAUGAGUCCGGACGUCAGCUGCCUGCCUGGGCACAGACAGUUCAUGUCAGUCUAGGACAAGGAUCAUCAUACAUGGAUUUAAUUAGGGUGGGGUGAACUGCUAGGUAGCUGUUUAAGGCACUCUUAACUAUUUAUAAUAAAAUUAGCAUAAAUCUAUUCCCAUUUGCCGCUG